rnacentral:rRNA from 1 species
CCCUUAGAUGUUCUGGGCUGCACGCGUGUUACACUGACGCAUUCAACAAGUUUCAACCUCGGCUGAGAGGCCUGGGUAAUCUUUGAAAUUGCGUCGUGCUGGGGAUAGAUGAUUGCAAUUAUUCAUCUUCAACGAGGAAUGCCUAGUAAACGCGAGUCAUCAACUCGCAUUGAAUACGUUACUGCCCUUUGUACACACCGCCCGUCGCUACUACCGAUUGAAUGGUUUAGUGAGUUACACGGACUGAUGAUUCGUGUUGUUUCGGCAACACUUUUCAUCGGGAAGUGGGGCUAACUUGACUAUUUAGAGGAAGUAAAAGUCGUAACA